rnacentral:rRNA from 1 species
CCCUUGGGGAUCAGUGGCGCACGGGUGAGUAACGCGUGGGAACCUGUCGAGGAGUGGGGAACAACCACUGGAAACGGUGGCUAAUACCGCAUGUGCCCCGAGGGGCAAAGGUCGCAAGACCGCUUUUCGAGGGGCCCGCGUCCGAUUAGCUUGUUGGUGGGGUAACGGCCCACCAAGGCUUCGAUCGGUAGCUGGUCUGAGAGGAUGAUCAGCCACACUGGGACUGAGACACGGCCCACACUCCUACGGGAGGCAGCAGUGGGGAAUAUUGGACAAUGGGCGCAAGCCUGAUCCAGUAAUGCCGCGUGAGUGAAGAAGGCCUUAGGG